rnacentral:misc_RNA from 1 species
GAAAUGCGAAAAGUAGUGUGAAUUGCAGAAUUCAGUGAAUCAUCGAAUCUUUGAACGCACAUUGCGCCUCGCAGUAUUCUGUGAGGCAUGCCUGUUCGAGCGUUAUUGGAAAACCGUUCAAGCCCCUGGCUUGGUCGUGGGGGAUGAGCACCGUCGAAGGUUGUCACCUCUGAAAUUCAAUGGCGGAUUACCAUCAGCUGCCCUGAGCGUCGUAUGUGUAAGACACUCUCGCCUCGGUGGCCUGUGAAGUCCUGCCCAUCAACCCCCACAAUAUCUUGGGUUGACUUCGGAUCAGGUAGGGAUACCCGCUGAACUUAA